AUACGGAGGGUCCGAGCGUUAUCCGGAAUCAUUGGGUUUAAAGGGUCCGUAGGCGGGAAUCUAAGUCAGUGGUGAAAUCUUGCAGCUCAACUGUAAAAUUGCCGUUGAUACUGGAUUUCUUGAAUUAGUGUGAAGUGGUUAGAAUGUGUAGUGUAGCGGUGAAAUGCAUAGAUAUUACACAGAAUACCAAUUGCGAAGGCAGAUCACUAACACUAUAUUGACGCUAAGGGACGAAAGCGUGGGGAGCGAACAGGAUUAGAAACCCCAGUAGUCC
rnacentral:rRNA from 1 species